rnacentral:lncRNA from 1 species
GCCCCGACCCGGCUCCGGCCCCGGCCCCUGCCCGCGUCCGGCGCCCGCCUUACGCUGCCUUCGUAGCGUAGCGCCCGGCCCGGGCCCCGCGGCUACGGCGCGCCCGGGGCGCACGCGGCGCUGUGAAUCGCGCGCCCGGACUACGGCUCCCACAGGGCUGCGCGGCGCCGACGGGGCGGAAGCUCGGGGCGGUGCCUGCGCGAGGCAGGCCGGGAGUUGUAGUCCUCGGGUGGCGCCCUCCCAGUCCGCCGACCGCCCGGGCCACUUCUCCUGCCCUCGCUGCUGGAGACGGCCGGGCCCGAGGCCUCGGUCCCCGGGAGGCGCCGCGCUCCAGGAUUAUCAGGGAGUGGGGCGGCCCGAGGAGGAGCUGGAACUACAACUCCCAGAGGGCCUUGCGAGGGGCACGGAGGGGCGGGGCCUGCAGCCGCGGCGUCUGCGCAUCAGCGGCGUCACAGACGCGUGGGGCUCGCGGGGAGCCGGGCUGGGGCCGUCCGUGUCCCGCGGGGCUCUGGGCGGCCGCUCGACCGAGGACCCACGACUCCGCCCCGACCCCGCCGUGUUCGCGAGACCCGGAGACCCCUUCGCGCCUUCCAGGACCGCCCCUUUCGCGACGCUGCGUGCUGUGCUUGGUCCUGGCGGCCAAGAGCGGCGGUGGCAAGGGGACCGCCCUGGCCCGAGACGCGGCCUGGCCUCGCAGCGUCGCUUGGGCACAGCCUCUCUAGGCCCCUUCGUCCUCGGUCGCGGAGGGACGCCAUUAAACGGCCACGCCGGGCUCAACUGGGACGCGGCCCACGGCGCCCAACCAGGGCCUGGGGGAGGGAAGCCGGGGCGACUCCUGGGUCCUUCCAGGACCCUUGCGCAGGCCUCAUUCUCUCCCCGGAGGUCCCCUUCCCGCUGCCCUGAGGCCACUCUCCUGCCAGCAGCUGCUGGGCCGGCUCUCGGGAGAAUGCCUUGGCGUCAAGCUUAUCAGGCUGCAGGGCGGGACGCGAGUGCUGAGGGCAGCCAGACUCCCGCUCUUAGGUGCACUUGAGGAGCCUGAGAAGGCAGUGGCUCUGCGGGAGAGGGAGACACAGGAGCAGGGCUGGUCCGCCGAGAUUCCGGAGAGACGGUUGUGGGCCGAUUCUGUGGCGAGAUUUACAAGUGGGAGGUUGGGUGACGAUUGCUCCUGGGCCAGAAAAUCUAAGCCAGUCUCAGCAAGACCUACAAGGCCAGGGCCAGUGCUCCUCAGAGGAUAUUCAUGCUCCAGGAAAGCCAAGGAUGGGCCUCCGUCAUGCUGAGAUGCCGCAGCAGGGACACCUGUGUCCCACGUGGAGCUCGGCUUCUAGCUGCAGUCAGUGCAGAAGCUGGCAGGAGGGGUUUAUUUCUGUCCUCGGAAGCUUUUGGUAAGGACACUUCAUUCCUGUGUCUUGGACACCUCCCCCUAGGUCUGCUGCCCCCUCUGUGGAGACAGGCAGGGCAGCUGGAUGUGCCGUUUGUUCCCAGACUAUAUCCAUGCCAAAGCAUCCCAAGGGCAGGAAAUGUGUCCCCGGGGGCCAGUGGGGGUCUGGGGGCACAGAGGGCUGCAGAGUGAGAGCUGGCUCUCCUCUCUGCAACUUGGACAAGGCUCUGGGACCCUGUCCUCCCCAGCUUCCUCACCUGCAUGGCAGGAUACUGGCCAAGUGUGGCUUUCGAACCACAGGAGAGGGUGCAGUCAAGGCCUCACUCAGGGACCGCAGGUUCUCUUCCCUUCCCAGUCCUUCCCUGGCACUGCCUAGGUGGCUCCCUGGCCAGGGGCCAGUGGUCUAGCCAGCAGGCCUUAUAACCUCCCCACCAGAGAGGCAGCUGCAGUUGAACCUGUUGAUCUGAUGCUGAGGGCCCUGCCAGCUCACUGCAGAGUGGCCAGUUCUGGCCAGUUUUGCUAGGCCAGGCCCAUUUGGGGUGAGGAGAGGGUGGGAGCACCCCAGCUCUCCCCAGUAGCCUGUCAUGGUGAAGGAGGAAGCCCAUUCACCCAGAAGAGGGCCUCAGGAGGCGUCUUCAAGGUGACUGAGGUUUCCCCGCACAAGGAGAGUGCUGGAGGGAAUGGGUGCGAUGAGAGAAAUGAGUCACUCGUGCCUCCGUGAGGCCAGCCUGUGAUUGUCUUGAAGAUUCUGAGUCACAAGACAUCAGGCACACAGGCGUGAAUUGUAAAUGACUGCACAGCAGAAGGUAAGUGACUCUGGAUUAUCCAGACCAUUGACCGAGCCCUGCUCCGUGCCAGUGCUUCCUGGCCUGAGGACACGACUCUCACAUCCAGACAGACCUGAGCAGCUAACGCAAGUGCGCAGAAGCUCGCCAAGUGCCCAGAAGAGCCAAGAGGCGAGCCAUGAAUCCCCCCUGGAGGAGAAGAGGAUGGGGAGGGCCAAACAGAAAGAACUGAAACUGGAGGCAUCUGUUCAGGCACCCAGAGAAAGCCUCACGCGCACAAAGCAGCAAACAGAACAAACCCCAGUGCCAUCAUGGAGCCCAGACUUGAGCACACAGGGACCCUGGCGUGGAGCACGAGGGUGCCAAGGCCCGCAGGUGGCUGACUUGUGUGCUCUGGUGCCAUGCUCAGAUUUGAUGGGAUGACCCUGCAAUUGCCUGCUUUGUGAGCCACACAGGCCUGGGUCAAAAAGACGACGGACCACCAGCCUGGGCAACACACAAAGCGAAACCUGUCUCCACUUAAAAGAUAAUUAGGGUGUGGUGGUGUGUGCUUGUGGUCCCUGCUACUUGGGAGGCAGAGGCAGGAGCAUCACUUGAGCCCGGGAGGUUGAGGCUGCAGUGAGCUGGGAUGGCACAUGGCGCUCCAGCCUGGGUGACUGAGUCCGUCUCAAAAAAAGAAUGGGCGGCCGGACAGGUGAAAAUAACAAUGGACGGGGCCCUGGGAGAAGUUCCCGCCUUUCUCUGGGCCACCACCUCCAGGUUACUGGACUGCCAGCAGGUAGAGGGGCCAGGGUGCCAUCCGGGGGGCCGCUGAGGGGGUCCAGACUUCCUAUACCUGCCCUUCAGCAGAGGCAGGCUGGGGCGGUCCUCAUGUGAGGGGCUCUGCACCCACAUCCGGGGGGCCGCUGAGGGGGUCCAGCCUUCCUAUACCUGCCCUUCAGCAGAGGCAGGAUGGGGCGGUCCUCAUGUGAGGGGCUCUGCACCCACGUCCGGGGCUCUUGUUCCAGGGCAGGGGCAGAGCCGCUCCUCUCUAUCCUGCCGGGCAAGACUCCUUGGUGCUCUUCCAUCGGGCAGAACUGACCAAGACUCAGAACAUUCAAUGUCAGGAGCCAGCUGGGGACAGGAUCUGCCUUGGGAGACUUGGCAGGCCCAGUGACCAUCCCACUGCACAGCUGGGGGUGGGGGCGACACUCCAGAGGGACACGUUCGGGCCUCCUGGGGGGUGCAGGCUUCUGGGCACGUCCACCAGGCAUGCACACCGGCCACCCCACCCUGCUCUCGCUCACCCACAAGGUCUCUGGCAGCCCUUCCGGGAAUGUUUCCAUUUCAUCCUGUGUCCUCCUGUCUCAAACUCCUUUGGGCUGGAGACCCCAGUGGGUCAUCGAGGUGGGGCCAGCUGGACUGUGGACAGCCCCAUGUUUAAAAUCUAGCGUGGAAACUGAGGUGCUCCUAGACCACAGUGGGGUAUCAGGAGGAGGAAGCUGCUCCCCUUCCCCUCCCUGGCUCUGGCCUGGCAGCGUGGAGUGAGUUCCCCUCCCCACCUCCAGCUUCUCCCUCUAGGCAGAGAUGGGUCUUACUGGCACCACACAGACCCCUGGGUAGGUGGGAGAGCAGGUCUUUUUCCUGGGAGGAGGAACUUGGCCUUGGACACACCCACACCGCCCAUGUCACUCCUCAGUUCUUUUUUUUUUUGAGACGGAGUCUCGCUCUGUUGCCCAGGCUGGAGUGCGGUGGCGUGAUCGCUGCUCACUGCAAGCUCCACCUCCCAGGUUCACGCCAUUCUCAUGCCUCAGCCUCCCAAGUAGCUGGGACUACAGGUGCCGGCCACCACGCCCGGCUAAUUUUUUUGUAUUUUUAGUAGAGACGUGGUUUCACCAUGUUAGCCAGGAUGGUCUCGAUUUCCUGACCUUGUGAUCCGCCUGCCUGGGCCUCCCAAAGUGCUGGGAUUACAGGCGUGAGCCACCGCGCCCGGCCUGUCACUCCUCAGUUCUAACUCAUGAAGCAAUCAGGGUUCUUGGGCCCUGUGACCUGGAACCAUUCUGCUGCACCUGCACUGAGGGUUCAAGGACUCCUCACUGUAGGCCACGCCUGGUCCUCUUCUGGUCACCAGCCCGCAAGCAGCAGCUGGGCUGAGGGGACUGGCAGACCUGGGUCCUCAGCUUCCCUGGGCCUUGGUUUCUCCAUCUCCAUCUGCAUCUGAGAGUGACAGGCAGGCGGGCAUCUCGCGCGGGGGGCGGGAGAGCGAGAGCCGCAGAUGCACAGUCCGCUUCCUGGAUGCUGGACCAGGUGGUCCAGUUUUCAAGGCUUGUGUUUUUGGGGGACUCUUGAUCAGAUGGGACCACUCCCCGCAGGCCAUUCUUUGUGGCUGCAGUGGCACUGAGCUCUCUCAGACUCCCUGGCUGCCCAUGACCUCGGGAGCCCACUUCCGUCGGGACCUGCCUCCUCACCUUCCCGUGCCUGUGGUGCUGGUACUGUGUCUGCCCCCUCUUCUGGGGGAUGUCCUCCCACCACCCUGCACAUCACUGCCCUUUUAAAUUCUUUCUGAAAUGGGGUCUCGCUGUCGCCCAGGCUGGAGUGCAGCGGUGUGAUCACAGCUCACUGUAACCUCCGUCUCCUGGACUCAAGCAAUUCUCCCACCUCAGCCUCCCAAGGAACUGGGACUAUAGGUGCGCACCACAAUGCCUGGUUAAUUUUUUAUUUUUUAGAGAUGGGGCCUUGCUAUGUUGCCCAGGCUGGUCUUGAACUCCCGGGUUCAAGCGAUCCUCCUGCCUUGGCCUCCCAAAGUGCUGAGAUUAUGGCGUGAGCCUCUGCGCCCUGCCCCCCACUCUUCUCUUAAUCCCGGGGACGUUUUGACGGCUCUCCCGACAUGGGACGUACGUCCCCAGAGGCGUGUGACCCAGAGCCCUGAUGCCCACACAGCCCUGUGCUGCCCAAUUUGCCCCGCCCCACCUGCCCCACCUUGAUGCUGUCUCAGCAGCUCGUCAGGAUCCAGAACCUGGCUGGAAAGCUGCCAGGCUCCACUGGGCCUGGAGGUGCAAUCCUACGGCCUUGGAAGGGUCUUAGUCUGACCAAGCUGCAGAGCCAGGCAGGUCUGCUGGGUUCUGAGCUCAGACAACUGAUGGCCUCGGACGCCUUGAGGGAAGCUGGGCCAGGCCCAGAAGACUCCCACCCCACCCUGUGGCCCCCCUGGAGGAAGAAGCCGGCCUCUGC